rnacentral:rRNA from 1 species
UACGUAGGGGGCUAGCGUUGUCCGGAAUCAUUGGGCGUAAAGCGCGUGUAGGCGGCUCGGUAAGUCCGCUGUGAAAGUCGGGGGCUCAACCCUCGGAUGCCGGUGGAUACUGUCGGGCUAGAGUACGGAAGAGGCGAGUGGAAUUCCUGGUGUAGCGGUGAAAUGCGCAGAUAUCAGGAGGAACACCAAUUGCGAAGGCAGCUCGCUGGGACGUUACUGACGCUGAGACGCGAAAGCGUGGGGAGCAAACGGG